UCAUUAUUUUUUCUAACUCCGCACUCUGAGCGAAAGUUCAGAAUCUGAAGUUCAACCAUUUCUGAAAUAUGACCAAAUUGGAAACCUGGAGAGAGUUCUAUUCAGCUGGGGAGAGAAAUACAUAAACCCCCACAUGAAUGACUUGGAGUGUCCUUUCACUUUCCCCAAACAGAAAGCCAUUUGCUAUGGAGAAGGCCGAAUGUUAUUCUGACAGAGCGCGGCUCUCCCCAGGCCAGACACGGGGCCAGCGAACG